AUUGAACGCUGGCGGCAUGCCUUACACAUGCAAGUCGAACGGCAGCAUGAUCUAGCUUGCUAGAUUGAUGGCGAGUGGCGAACGGGUGAGUAAUACAUCGGAACGUGCCCUGUAGUGGGGGAUAACUAGUCGAAAGAUUAGCUAAUACCGCAUACGACCUGAGGGUGAAAGUGGGGGACCGCAAGGCCUCAUGCUAUAGGAGCGGCCGAUGUCUGAUUAGCUAGUUGGUGAGGUAAAGGCUCACCAAGGCGACGAUCAGUAGCUGGUCUGAGAGGACGAUCAGCCACACUGGGACUGAGACACGGCCCAGACUCCUACGGGAGGCAGCAGUGGGGAAUUUUGGACAAUGGGCGAAAGCCUGAUCCAGCAAUGCCGCGUGUGUGAAGAAGGCCUUCGGGUUGUAAAGCACUUUUGUCCGGAAAGAAAUGUCUCUGGUUAAUACCUGGGGUCGAUGACGGUACCGAAAGAAUAAGGACCGGCUAACUACGUG
rnacentral:rRNA from 1 species